GAUGAACGCUAGCGGCAGGCCUAACACAUGCAAGUCGAGGGGUAGGGCAGCAAUGCCUGAGACCGGCGCACGGGUGCGUAACGCGUAUGCAAUCUACCUUCAACAGGGGGAUAGCCCAGAGAAAUUUGGAUUAAUACCCCAUAGUAUUAUCGAAUGGCAUCAUUUGAUUAUUAAAGUUCCAACGGUUGAAGAUGAGCAUGCGUCCUAUUAGCUUGGUGGUAAGGUAACGGCUUACCAUGGCUACGAUAGGUAGGGGUCCCGAGAGGGAGAUCCCCCACACAGGUACUGAGAAACGGACCAGAAUCCUACGGGAGGCAGCAGUGAGGAAUAUUGGACAAGGGGCGCAAGCCUGAUCCAGCCAUGCCGCGUGCAGGAAGACGGUCCUAUGGAUUGUAAACUGCUUUUGUACGGGAAGAAACACUCCUACGUGUAGGAGCUUGACGGUACCGUAAGAAUAAGGAUCGGCUAACUCCGUGCCAGCCGCCGCAGUAAAAC
rnacentral:rRNA from 1 species